rnacentral:rRNA from 1 species
CAAUAGCGUAUAUUAAAGUUGUUGCAGUUAAAAAGCUCGUAGUUGGAUUUCUGAUUGAGACAUCAGGUCGGGUCCGAGAGGAUCAUGUACUUUGAUUUGUUUUGAUCAUCCUUGGGGAGAGCAGUUCUGGCAUUAAGUUGUCGGGGUUGGGAUCCUCAUCGUUUACUGUGAAAAAAUUAGAGUGUUCAAAGCAGGCCUCGGCCUCUGAAUACAUUAGCAUGGAAUAAUAAGAUAGGACUUUGGUGGUCUAUUUUGUUGGUUUGCACGCCAAAGUAAUGAUUAAUAGGGAUAGUUGGGGGUAUUCGUAUUCUAUUGCUAGAGGUGAAAUUCUUAAAUUUAUGGAAGACGAACUACUGCGAAAGCAUUUACCAAGGAUGUUUUCAUUAA